rnacentral:misc_RNA from 1 species
GUUUUUAUGUAUUUAGAAUUGUAGGUAGAUGAAUGCUAGUUUUGAUGAAACUAAUGGGGUUUUAAUGUGGCAUUAACAUAUGAAGUCAGAAUAUUGCCAUGUUCUUCAGACUGCAGACAUUUUGCUUAGAUUUUCAUAUUGAUAAAAGCUUUGUAAAAGCUGGCUUAAAUUGUCUUGGUCCCUCAGAUACCCUUACAAAACCCCGAAUUUCCAUUGUAUAUUUUCAAAAGUCAUGCCAAAAUGGUACAGAGUACAAAUUGAAUGGAUUUCUUGUUUUUUUCUACUCAAUGGAUU